rnacentral:rRNA from 1 species
AUCCUGGCUCAGGACGAACGCUGGCGGCGUGCUUAACACAUGCAAGUCGAGCGGUAAGGCCUUUCGGGGUACACGAGCGGCGAACGGGUGAGUAACACGUGGGUGAUCUGCCCUGCACUUCGGGAUAAGCCUGGGAAACUGGGUCUAAUACCGGAUAUGACCUCCUAUCGCAUGGUGGGUGGUGGAAAGAUUUAUCGGUGCAGGAUGGGCCCGCGGCCUAUCAGCUUGUUGGUGGGGUAAUGGCCUACCAAGGCGACGACGGGUAGCCGACCUGAGAGGGUGACCGGCCACACUGGGACUGAGACACGGCCCAGACUCCUACGGGAGGCAGCAGUGGGGAAUAUUGCACAAUGGGCGAAAGCCUGAUGCAGCGACGCCGCGUGAGGGAUGACGGCCUUCGGGUUGUAAACCUCUUUCAGCAGGGACGAAGCG